UUCCUACGGGACGCAGCAGUGGGGAAUAUUGGGCAAUGGGCGCAAGCCUGACCCAGCAACGCCGCGUGAAGGAAGAAGGCUUUCGGGUUGUAAACUUCUUUUCUCAGGGACGAAGCAAGUGACGGUACCUGAGGAAUAAGCCACGGAUAACUACGUGCCAGCAGCCGCGGUAAUACGUAGGUGGCAAGCGUUAUCCGGAUUUACUGGGUGUAAAGGGCGUGUAGGCGGGAAAGCAAGUCAGAUGUGAAAACCAUGGGCUCAACCUGUAGCCUGCAGUUGAAACUGUU
rnacentral:rRNA from 1 species